CAGCAGAGCACAGAGGGAGGAAUCUGAUCUCAGGCAAGAUCAUCAGUUGUAUUUAACAUACCAGUUUGUAUCAAAGUACAACAGAAUCAAGUUGAAACGUUUCCCUCACACAGAGCACCGCCCACUGUUCCACCGCUCCGCAGUUCACCUGAAAACACCUCAUGGAAAACCUUCUCAUUUCCUAACCCCCCGUUCUGAAGAAGUGAGUUUAUGAUGGAUCUUUAACCGGAUGACUCUCCGACCCGCCGCAGCCCGAUGGAGCAGAACAACACCAUGUUUUCAUCACCUCCGUGUGCCAGACAGGAGUUCUGCCACAGACGUCUGUGUUCUCACCUUCGGCCCAUCUGGAAAAUGUCAGCUGUGUGUGUCGGUGGUGCUGGCUCCAUCCUGUAUCCUCAGGAGAACUCUCAGGUCGACAUGUUGCUUCCUGUCAGCGAUGCUGUGCUGCUGUGGACGGACUCAUUUAGGAUCUGAUCUGAUCUGACGUCAGUUUCCUGCAGGAGUGAGAACAGACGCACAAACCAGAGGGGUGGGGUCGCACAAGGUGAGUUCAGAUAAACGUGACUUGAACUGUUCACCUGCAGGGAACCAAAGCUGCUCGAAUGUGAUUGGUCAAACUGGAAACCUCCAGCCCCAGAAUCGUGUCCCUCGCCUUCAGGUCCUGUCCGUGGAGAUGACCUGAGAGACAAUCCCACAACCAGCUGUUCCUUCCACCUGAAACGUUUCUCCACACAUCAACUGUUCUCUUGUUUCUCUGAUGAAUAAGAGUCUGGUUUUCCCAGACGGCUGCAGAGGAGAUCCGGUGGAUCCACACCUUUGUUCCUGCGUAAGCAUCUUGUUCAUUCACCUCAGAGUGCAAGAGGAAGGGAAAACAAAACCACGAGCAGAUUUCAAACCAUGAUUUAUGAUGCGAUGGUGGUGAGGAUGGGGAACUGUGACGUUGAGCAAGUGUCCGUCAGCGUUACCAAACCACAGAUCCAGGUGAAGCAGAGUUUAUAGAACCUCUCUGACGCGUCUGUGACUUCAGACCGACCUGGAGACCUUCAGCAGAAUGAGGGACGAUCCCAUGUGACUUCUCUUUCCCUCCAACGCGACUAACAUGUGGUCGGAAACACACAACAGGC